GGCCAAGUCAUGUUGAAACACCAGUUUCUGUGUGACCACCACAGUUAAACAAUGUUGAGCCUGGUUAAUACUUAGAUGGGUGACUGUUUGGAAAUACCAGGUGCUGUAAG